AAAGGUGUUUCUAUCUCGUUGCCGGACGGCACGCUGGUCGACAAGGACUAUUUCGACGUGCUAGACAACCAAACCACGGUUGUACUUCUGAAGGCUGGCGAGUCGUUGCAGCCGACUGCGAUCGUGGGUCUGGUGGAGCAGCUGCUGCGCACGUGGCGCGGCACCGAGCUGCAGGACGGCAUCCGAGCCCUGCUGCGCGACGACGGCACGCCGGCCGCGCUGCUGGCGCCGCCUGCCGGCCGGCCCUGCCGCACGGCACUCAGCCGACGGGCCGACGAUCCCGACUGGUUCCAAGGCCUGGACACGGCUGCCGCCACCAAGGAGGAGUAC